UACGAAGGGGGCUAGCGUUGCUCGGAAUCACUGGGCGUAAAGAGCUCGUAGGCGGUCUGUCGCGUCGGAUGUGAAAACUCGGGGCUCAACCCCGGGCCUGCAUUCGAUACGGGCAGACUAGAGUACGGCAGGGGAGACUGGAAUUCCUGGUGUAGCGGUGAAAUGCGCAGAUAUCAGGAGGAACACCGGUGGCGAAGGCGGGUCUCUGGGCCGAAACUGACGCUGAGGAGCGAAAGCGUGGGGGAGCAAACAGG
rnacentral:rRNA from 1 species